AAUAGCUAUUUAUAUUUAUCUAUGACUUUUUAAUGUAUCAUUUAUUAUACAUGUGGUUUGUGAGUGCAAUUGAAGACUUUAGGUUAUAUACUUUUUUCACACAAAUUUUACAUUUUUAUAGUUGAAACAGAUCAAGAAGCUCUGUUUAUCUGGAGGCGAGCCGAGCAAGAAGAACAUCGGCAUCGUCUUAGGUUCGCCAUUGGCGCAUUGAAUUCAUUUGCAUGGAUCGUGUGCAAUAUCUCCCACUGGUUCUGGAUUUAACACAGAAAUUUGUACCUGCAUGCAAAUUUACGAUAUUCACUCGGAUUGCUGAAUAAUAGUUUUUCCAGAGUCUAGACCAAACGCACCUGAGGGAUUCGCUCCUAGUACAAGCCUCGUAUUUCACUUAAUAACGACAUCAAGGAAAUUAAACAUGGUCCAGUCUCGGCCUAAAACGCAGAACUGAGGCCGCACUUGACCAAUAACGGCCGAGUGAAAUGUCAAUAACAGCCGCACUUGAACCGCGGAGAGACACAAGGGCACAGGUCAGAGGGCAGAAGGCACUCGAGAGAUAUCAGUAAUUUGAAAUCUCUGGUUUGUACGAAGAUAAUUGUAAUACAAUAUAGGCCUGGGAAAGUAAUAUAAAGUUAAAAGAUCAAGCCAAUUAUCUUCUAGACAUAGAAAUGAAAUUUGGUGAUUUUAGACAAAUUUCCUCAUAUUUGCAAUCGAUUUUAGACUUUACUUGAACGUACUUUUCUACAUUCACGCCAGAACUAUU